rnacentral:rRNA from 1 species
UACUAGAGUAGCACUCGCAUAUCAAUAAGCGGAGGAAAAGAAACUAACAAGGAUUCCCCUAGUAACGGCGAGUGAAGCGGGAAGAGCUCAAAUUUGAAAUCUUAAAGGGUUUCCCUUUACGAAUUGUAGUUUAAAGAAGUGUUUUCUGUGGAGGUUUUGGUAAAAGUUCUUUGGAAUAGGACAUCAUAGAGGGUGAGAAUCCCGUAUUUGACCUUUACUUUCAACUUUGUGAUACACUUUCAAAGAGUCGGAUUGUUUGGGAAUGCAGUCCAAAAUGGGUGGUAAAUUUCAUCUAAAGCUAAAUAUUGGCGAGAGACCGAUAGCGAACAAGUACCGUGAGGGAAAGAUGAAAAGAACUUUGAAAAGAGAGUUAAACAGUACGUGAAAUUGUCAAAAGGGAAGCGUUUGACACCAGUGUUGUUUUUCUGAAAAUCAAUUAAAGAACUGUUUAUGCUAAGCUGUUUAGACUUUAUCAGCUAUCUGUUUAGUUUUGAGCUUUUCUUUAAUGCACUUUUCAGUUAACAAGUCAACAUCAAUUUCUUUUGCUGUAAAAAAGCUUGAGGAAGGUGGCUUGAGAUUCGUCUUAAGUGUUUAUAGCCUCUUGCCUAUGCAGUCGGAGAGAUUGAGGUCUGCAGCGUAGAUCCUUCGGGGCUAAAUGCAUUUGUGCUAAGUUAUAGCAUUUUAUAGACAACUUGUUGACUAUGAUUUGUCUUGUAGCUUACUCGCUUAUGUUAUUUUACCUACGCUUAGGAUGUUGAUCUCUCACAGUCGAGC